rnacentral:rRNA from 1 species
GUGAGGAAUAUUGGACAAUGGGCGCAAGCCUGAUCCAGCCAUGCCGCGUGCAGGAAGACGCAUCUAUGGUGUGUAAACUGCUUUUGUACGGGAAGAAACACUCCCUCGUGAGGGAGCUUGACGGUACCGUAAGAAUAAGGAUCGGCUAACUCCGUGCCAGCAGCCGCGGUAAUACGGAGGAUCCAAGCGUUAUCCGGAAUCAUUGGGUUUAAUGGGUCCGUAGGCGGUUUAAUAAGUCAGUGGUGAAAGCCCAUCGCUCAACGAUGGAACGGCCAUUGAUACUGUUAGACUUGAAUUACAAGGAAGUAACUAGAAUAUGUAGUGUAGCGGUGAAAUGCUUAGAUAUUACAUGGAAUACCAAUUGCGAGGGCAGGUUACUACUUGUGGAUUGACGCUGAUGGACGAAAGCGUGGGGAGCGAACAGGAUUAGAUACCCUUGUAGUCC